rnacentral:rRNA from 1 species
AUUGAACGCUGGCGGCAGGCCUAACACAUGCAAGUCGGGCGCGCGGCGGACGGGUGAGUAAUGUAUGGGGCUCUGCCUGAUGGAGGGGGAACACUACUGGAAACGGUAGCUAAUCCCGCAUACUAUCAGCUGCACCCAUAUGGGAUUAGCUUGUGGGGGGGGUAACGGCUCACCUAGGCCACUAUCCCUAGCUGGUCUGAGGGGAUGAUCAGCCACACUGGAACGUAGACACGGCCCCGACUCCUACGGGAGGCAGCAGUGGGGAAUAUUGCACAAUGGGCGCAAGCCUGAUGCAGCCAUGCCGCGUGUAUGAAGAAGGCCUUCGGGUUGUAAAGUACUUUCAGUCGGGAGGCGUUACCGGCAGAAGAAGCACCGGCUAACUCCGUGCCAGCAGCCGCGGUAAUUC